UACGUAGGGUGCGAGCGUUGUCCGGAAUUAUUGGGCGUAAAGAGCUCGUAGGUGGCUUAGUAAGUCGGGUGUGAAACCUCCAGGCUCAACCUGGAGACGCCACCCGAUACUGCUAUAGCUUGAGUCCGGUAGGGGAGCGUGGAAUUCCUGGUGUAGCGGUGAAAUGCGCAGAUAUCAGGAGGAACACCAGCGGCGAAGGCGGCGCUCUGGGCCGGUACUGACACUGAGGAGCGAAAGCGUGGGGAGCAAACAGG
rnacentral:rRNA from 1 species